AGUAAUUGAAGUGAUUGGUAAAUAUUGUUAUUUAUGCUUUUUUUUCAGGCAGCAGAAGAAGAACUUGGGGCACCUCCUGAAGAUGGAGACAGUGACUGACUCUCUCUCUCUCUCUCUCUCUCUCUUUCUCACACACACACACAUACACACACACACACACACACACACUGUAUAAUUAAUAUAAAUCGUUAUGUUCUUGUUACUGUUUCUCAAUAUUUGGACAAAUUUUAAUUCUUUACUGUGAAAUAUUUGUCAUGGCAGUAAUCAAAUUUGAAUUGAACUGAACUGAACUGAAUUGCCUGAGGUUUUGUGAUCCUGGAUAACGCAUCCUAAUCCAUGCAGUGUUUUUCAGUUUUUGCUCAAAACUCACUCGAAAAAAGUUUGUGUAGCACUGAAAAUAAAUGCAAGCAAACGCGAUUGAAGAGCCCGUGUGAGCUACAGGUUUGUGUCAUUCUAUUAAAAAUAUCAUUAACUCAAGCUGUGCACAAACCGAAACACACACAUGCACAUGUAUAGGCUACUCAUUUAUAAAAAAAAAAAAAAAAAAACUCCCCGGAAAAAGGACACUUUCUCUCGAGGAGGAAAAAGAGCUGGUGCUCAGGUGCGUCCGAUCAUACUAUCCAUACUAAAUAGUAUGUGAGAUUAGAAUAAGUGUGUCCCAAAGCAGAGUAUGUUGAAAAGUAUAUGCCAAAAGUCCCCGGAUGGUCUACUAUUUCAGGUCGAUUUUUCAAGUGUGGAUCUGACGAAUGAUUCGGUUGAUAGCUACAAACACGAAUAAAAAUCAUUAAAAACUACAAACAUGGCAGAUGCGCGCGACCGACGAUUAAGUAGAGAGGCUUAAAUAAAGGGUUUUGAGUUACUAAUAAUCACCAUUUAACCUGGUAAAAAAAAAAAAAAAAAUUAAUGUUAUCUGUGUUAUAUUUCAUCUGCAAUAGCAAAGUGAAUUUUAAUAAAAACAUUAUUCGCUAACUUUUAAAUGCAUCAUUAUGCAGAAAAUAUGAGCAGAGUUCUCUGUAUGAAGACCCAAGGCUCGCAGAUCAACUCAAAAGUAUGUACUUUUUCUUCACCAAAAAAGUACAUACUUUAAGGGCGUAGUAUUAGUAGGCACAUUGGGACGCAGCAUACGUGUGCACGUGCUGCUUCCAGAUUACUAGAAAGCUACAGACAGGUGAGUUUGAUUAGGGCUGGAGUUGACCUGAUCUCCCUGGAUCUUUAAAAGGCCGUUUUACAGCGGUGUAUGUUACGGCGACACGCUUAUUCGUGUUAGUUUUGUGCGCCUCGCUGUCCGUUUUUCCUGACGCGCGUUUUCCAGCAGAGAUCAUUGUGCGACCGCAGGUCGGGAGGAUGACAGCUCGAGUGUACUGCUCGCUGAUUGCUGUUUUAUUAUGUCUAUCUGGAUACUUGAGCAUUACACACGCUACUCAAGGAGGAAACACAGGUGAGAAGAGCUGUCAGGUUCAUUACACGUUUUGGUAACUGAUGUAUAAUACCAUCAAAUAAGCUGUGCAUGAGAUCAAAUAAUACUUUUAUAAAUAACAUUUUAUUUUAUAUAUAUGUAUGUGUGUGUUUGUUUAUUUAGCAAGGAUGCUUUAAAUCAGAGAUCUCCAACCCUGCUCUAACACACCUGUCUGUAAUUAUCAAGUAGCCCUGAACACCUUUCUUAGCUGCUUCAGGUGUGUUUGAUUGGGGUUGGAGCGGAAAUCUGAAGGACAGUAGCUCUCCAGGAGCAGGGUUGGAGACCCCUGCUUUAAAUUGAUCAAAAGUGAUGAUAAAGACAUGUAUGUUACAAAAGAUUUCUAUUUCAGACUAAUGCUGUUCUUCUGAACUUUCUGUUCAAAGAAACCUGAAAAAUUCUACUCCGCUGUUUUCAACAUAAUGUUUUGUGAGCACCGAAACAGAAUGAUUUCUGAAGGAUCGUGUGACCUGGAGUAAUGAUGCUAAAAAUUUAGCUUUGAAAUCACAUAACAUUUUUAAAAUGUUCAAAUAGAAAACCAUUAUUUUAAAUGGUCAACUUUUUAAAAGUUUUGCUGUACUUUGGAUCAAAACAAAUGCAAUCUGGGUGAACAAGACUUCUUUAAAAAAAAAAAAAAAACCUUAACAAUUUUCUGUUCAAAAACUUUUGACUGGUAGUGUAUAAGUAACUCUUUUUCUCUAAUUUCUAGCUUUUAAUUGGCUUAGAAAUUAGAUAACCGCUGGACAAUAAUCAAUAAUAGUUUGUAGUAUAUAAACACUUUAUUUUAUUUUUAAUCGCGUAAGGCAGAAUAGUAUCUAUACUGUAGUAAAUCCUUUGUCAAUUAGCACUGCAUUGUUCAUA
ensembl:lncRNA